AACGAACGCUGGCGGCAGGCCUAACACAUGCAAGUCGAGCGCGCCCUUCGGGGUUAGCGGCGGACGGGUUAGUAACGCGUGGGAACGUUCCCUUCUCUGCGGAAUAGCCUCGGUACACUGAGAGUAAUACCGCAUACGCCCUUUGGGGGAAAGAUUUAUCGGAGAAGGAUCGGCCCGCGUUGGAUUAGGUUGUUGGUGGGGUAAUGGCCCACCAAGCCUACGAUCCAUAGCUGGUUUGAGAGGAUGAUCAGCCACACUGGGACUGAGACACGGCCCAGACUACUACGGGAGGCAGCAGAGGGGAAUAUUAGAAAAUGGGGGCAACCAUGAUAUAGCCAUGCCGCGUGAGUGAUGAAGGCAGGAGGGUAGAAAAGCUGUUUAAGCUGGGAAGAUAAUGACGGUACCAGCAGAAGAAGCAACGGCUAACUACGUG
rnacentral:rRNA from 1 species